UUAUUAUAUAUAUAUAUAUAUAUAUAUAAUAUAUAUAUAUAUAUAUAUAUAUAUAUAUAUCAAAAUGAUUAAACAAAAGUAUUACAAUUCUAAGAUUUAUGAACAACAUGAAAAUUUUUAUUAUUAAUAACAAAAGGCAACAGUUGUCCACUGAACGAUCGUUUGAUAAAGAUAUUAAUUAAUCAAUAUAAUUUCCAUGCGAAUAGUUAAAUAGUAAAUAAAAAGAGGAAAGGCAAGUGUUCUCGUAAACAUUAAACAAAUAUUCAACGAGAUCAAGUAUUAUCAAUGGUAUACUGUUUCGUAAUAGUCAUAAAUAUUUCUCUUCGUCGUUCUUCCUCUUCUUUUUCUGCUCUUUUUUUUCUUUUUCUUUUGCUCUUAUCUUUAUUCGCGUUUGUAAACGUUUAUAUGUGCAUGUAUCUAGGUGCAUCGUUAAUGUAUAUUUUAUUCGCAUUUCGAAAUACGUAAUCGCACGAGUCAUCUCGUUAACAUAUUUCCAACCGAUCGAGGAAAUUAAUCAUUUUGUAUUACGCACACUGAGUAUAUUUAUUUAUUUUUAUUUCAAAUUUUACGUAUAUAAUUAGGUUGAUUUCUUGCAUUCCAUCAAAUAAGGUUAUACGAAACGUUCCGAUUUUUUUUUCGUAAGAAAGUAGUCUACAAUUUACAAACGGGUAUUGCAAGGACAAGUAUCAGCUUACGAAUAACUAAUAAAUGACAAAUACAAAUAGUAAAAAAAAACAGCUCGAAAACUGUAUGCAUCGGUGAUUAAUCGUAUGAGAUAAAAAAUGGAAAGUAUUAUAAUUUGCAUAAACCUACAAUCGUCAUAAAUCAGAAACUCUCUCUUUUUAAUCGUAAUUAAUUGAAGUUUAAGGAACUCUUAAUUUCUUUCAUCCCGAACAUGCUCUUUACCGAAUUACCUUCAUCUUGACAUCAGUUACGAACAGAAUUAAACAAUCUCGUGACUUUCUAAAUGGACUAUACUCCAGUACUCACUAUCCAGAUCCUUUUCUUGUAUCUUAUAUAGUACGCAGUGACGACUUCUGCACUAUAUUGUAAACUGCAUGGUCAUCCGUGCAGCGAGUGAUAAAGGAAAAGAUAGGUUUCAAGACAACACUUAAGUUUAAACCCAAAUACUUAUCAUUUUUAUUUUUGAUACUUAAAAUUUUAAUAUUUUCUUAUAUCAAUCGAAAUGUUACAAUAUAUAUAUAAGAAAUUAUAAAUUCGAGAUAAAUCGUUCAACGUUCUUAGUCGUUUCAUCGAUAACCCAUUUUAACAAAAUCCCUUAUUCUUUUUAUCGAAUUGACCCUAAUGACGCCCUUAUGAUAAAAUUAUUUCGACAUACACAUGUAUAUUUGAUCCAACCAACUCUCAAUGCAAUAUGACCAAAUAUAAAUCAAAGAUAACCAAACAGAAAUAAAUGAAGUUUAAUAUCAGAAAAGUGAUUGUUCUAUUAUCCGAAAAUUUUAUUAAACGAACACUUUUUUCUCUCUAUCGGUUCGGAUAUAGGAGGCUUUACUGUAUAAGUAUUUUAAACCAAGCUGAUAUUCUGUAAUUAUCACGGAAAACGACUUAUGCUUGAUUAACAAUGAGUGUAUUUCCCUUGAUGCUUCCCUGUAUGAGGUCACAGUGAGAGUGGUAUAGAGAGAAAAACAGAAAGAGAGAAAGAGAGAGAGAGGAGAGAAAGAGAGAGAGAUAGAGAGAGAAAGAAAAAGGAAAAAAAAAGGUAAAUGUGCCAGUACAUUCUCAAAUAAAGGCAGAUGGAAUGUAGUCGUGUAGAUGCAUAAAUAAAUGUUAUAAGAAGAGAACACCUUAAAAGCGAUUGAGAGAGAAAGAGGAUGAAAGAGAAACGAGUAGACUGGAACAAACGAAGAAAGGCUGCUGAAUUAAAAGAUUAAAAGAGAUAGAAAGUAAAUGGUAGACUCGAAGGGAGAUUACGCUACAGGAACGAAGCCGAUGGAUUGAUACAUCAAUAAGAAUAUAUGUAUGUCAUGGCUAAGAAUUUAUGGAUGGUUUAUCCUCUCGUCUGGUUGCCUUUAAAAGAAACAAACGAGAUACAUUCAAAUUUCCUUAGAUUUACGCUUUUAAAUUCGAAUUAUCUCAAUUUUUAAAUCUAAUCUUUUUUGUUUCUUUCUUUCUUUUACUAUUGGACUCUUGGAAAAGUAUCCGCAACGAUAUCGAUUACUUGAAAUUUAAAUAUAAUUUCUUUACAAUCUAGUUCGAUCUCCGUUCAAAAUAGAAAUGACUGUAAGAGAGAAUAACAGGAUGCGCGGUGCAGAUACUUGGCGAUUCUAUUUGAAAUGAAUUACGUACCAGAUGCGUCGCAUUUUCGCAUCUUUGUAGCAUCUGCUUUAAAUAGUUUAAAUACGAUGUUCGUGAGAACGAACCCAUCUCGUCUCUAAUAUCUUUUUUUUUUCUCUCUUUCUUUCUCUCUCUCUCUCUCUCUCUCUCUCUCUCUCUCUCUCUCUCUCUCUCUCUCUCUCUCUCUCUGUCUCUCUGUUUCUUUUUUUCUUUCUCCUUCUGUUCAAUUCAGAAACAUCAGUAUUCUUUUGACAUCCGCGCUUUUCAUAGUUGGUCACGCGUGUCGCGGUUUGUAACAAUGCCAAGAAUUUUUAAACCAACCAUGAUGUUAACACAACCAGCGUAAGAUACUCGCACGCGGACACAAAUAUACAUCGCUAUGUUUCCUCGUUCCAAUUCUCCUACGUUUCAUGAUACAUAUGUCACGAAUAUUCUGUUGCAACAAUAUACUUUUUGAUCUCUGCGGCCCUGUAUACGAUGCAGUUCUCUCGAUCGUGCAAGUGAAACAGUAUAAUAUAUAGAUAGAGAUCGAUGAUGCACACUGACAACGAUGUAUCGUGGUUUAACAUGCGAUAGUAGGAUGAAGUUCGCAAGGGCAAACGGGAGAUAGAGAGAGAGAGAGAGAGAGAGAGAGAGAGAGAGAGAGAGAGAGAGAGACAGACAGACAGACAGACACAGAGAGAGAGAGAGAGAGAGAGAGAGAGAGAGAGAGAGAUGGAGUGAUAAACGAUGGCAAGAAAAAGGAGAAUGUUAUUCGGAUACGGACAGGAGAAAUGCAUUCGAUGCAGGAACGUAUACGUUUCGAUGAGAAUAUAAAACAAAAUUCAUUUGGAAAUAUAAAAGAAUCUUUCUUCUUUAAUAAAAUUUAACGUAUAAACAAUUCUUAUAUGAUUCAAUGUACAUUGGAAAGUUUAUCACGACAAUCGAAGUAUUUCUCUUCUUUCUAUUUUUCAUAUUUCUUUCUUGAAAUGCAGAGACUAUAAAACGUACAGCAUUAAGUUCCUGUAAAAGACCAAAAGUUAAUAGUUAUAAAAUAUUUAUUCAAUACAUACAUACAUACACACAAACACGCAUACUUUUCGUAUAAUUUUAUCUAUUUAAUUAAAUAACAGCGAUAAUAUAACAAAAGAAUGACUAUUAUUUAUUUGUUGCAUGAGCUAAUAAUGAUUAAAAAUUUGUUUUCCAUUGAUUAACGAAUUGACUUUUGAGAUGAAUGCGAGAAAAUCUAUUGCCUCGAUUGUUCUAAAGUUAUUAUUUUUAUUUUAUCAUUAAGAGAUAUUAGCCUGCUCGUGAGGUUGAUUUUACACAGAAUGUUUUUUGAUUGUUUUAGAGUUUAUAAAAUAACUAGUUUAAUAGGAUUCUUUAUAAUACAAUUUAAAUUAUUAUCGAUACAACAGAUGGUCAGAAUGGUCUGAGGUCAAAUAACGUGUUUAAUGAUUCAUAAAAUUGAUAAAACAUAACUAUUUCUAACCAUUUUAGAGUUAGACGUUAAACAUUUAAGAAAAAAACAAAGUUCUUUAAAAACUAUUGAUUUAAAAAUUAUUUAAGAAAAGAAAAUUUUUACAUAAAAUUUGUAGAAAAAGUUGGAUUAAGAAGAUAUGGUUUGAAUAUUUUUAAAUGGACUACUUUUUCAAUACGUUUCUCACCUUUCUUAAUCUUACGAUGGGAAGGAGAACACGUAUCUCCGGUUGACUUCAUUUCCCAAGCCGUUCUCCUUUCUCAUAAAGCUAUACUCUUCAUUCUAAUAAUCAUUAUCGAUUAUCAUAUGAUUCAUUUUCUUAUGUUUUCUAUCACAUUUUCGUUCCUUCUCUAUUUUCUAAGAUAUACACGUCGAGCAACUUUGUUGAAGGAAAAAGAAAUUUAGAAGAAAUUUAGGUCUCCUUCAUACAAUUUUCUAACAUGUUUCUUAUUUCUUGUGAUAUUAUUCAUUACGAUAUACACACAAAUUGCAAUUUAAAAAUAGAUAUAUAUAUAUUAUUUAUAUUUAAUUGAAAACUAAAUAUUAUAUAAUAUAUUCGGUGAAUUUAAUAGUGGUGUGCAUUUGUAUUGUAACGAGUGAUUGUAUAGAAAUAAAAUGAAAACGGUUAUUUAUCUG